UACGUAGGGUGCAAGCGUUAAUCGGAAUUACUGGGCGUAAAGCGUAUGCAGGCGGAUCGUUAAGUCGGGGGUGAAAUCCCGAGGCUCAACCUCGGAACUGCCUUCGAUACUGGCGAUCUUCGAGUCCGGGAGAGGUGAGUGGAACUCCGAGUGUAGAGGUGAAAUUCGUAGAUAUUCGCAAGAACACCAGUGGCGAAGGCGGCUCACUGGCCCGGUACUGACGCUGAGGUGCGAAAGCGUGGGGAGCAAACAGG
rnacentral:rRNA from 1 species